GCUCUCGUAGCUCAGUUGGUUAGAACACCCGUUUAGUGAGCGGGAGUUCGACUCUCAACGAGAGCA
rnacentral:tRNA from 1 species